rnacentral:lncRNA from 1 species
CAGAGAUUGAACAGGCUUCCCUGAAGUCAGAGCAACUCUCGGACAAGUCCUCAUCCCCUGCCCUGCCGGAUGACCUCAGCCUAGAUGAGCAUACUGCCUACCAGCUGCUGGCGCAAGAGGGCGAGGUAAAGUGCAGCAGUGACUCACCCAGCUCUGAGGAGGUCGAAGGAGGAGGUCACCAGAUUCAGACGGUGGUGCAGAGCCAGCCAUGCAGAGCCCUCAGCACGGGCAUUGAGAUGGAGAUCGUACUGCAGGAGAUGGAAAUGCAAACACACGAACCGCGUGUGUGUUCACCUCAGUGCAGCCCAGCCAUCCCAGUACCUCCCCGCAGUAGAAGCCUACGUUUGUCAAGAGGCCUUAGGCUGGCCUCCCGAGCCUCCAGAGCCUCGUGGGCUUCGUUCCGCUCCCCUGGAGCCCAUAGAAAGAAGCUCUGCACACAGUACCCCUCCCACAGUGAUUCGUCCCUCGCUACAGGCAGCUCUGAAGGCAGCCUUCAGACCACCUUGGAAGAAGGACUGAGCUUCAGUGUGUCCCCACCUCAGAACUUAGACUUUCCACUGUCAUCAGCUCCAUUGCCGCUUAUGUGUCCUCUCCCUCUGCCUGAGGACACCACCUCCAUAUCUUCCCCAGUCCAGACCCUGAGACCAAGACCGAGCCCAUCGUCGGGUUUAACCCUUCUGGCCACCAGGGGUCACCAGCGGAGCCAGAGCAGCGGGCGUGGCAGCACCAGCCCUGGGUACACCCGCGAUGACUCGAUCGACCCUUCAGAUGAGGACCUGGGCAUAGGGAUUGGAUCGUCUAUUGGCGGUUGUGGCUCCAGCCAAGCAGGCAACAGUGAACACUUGUCAGAGGCACUUAGCAGCUUGUCGCUGACAUCACUGCUAUCACCCAGCUCCCUGGUGUACCCAGGAGGAGCAGUAAAGAAGUGCAACAGCACAGGCAGCCUGGACCAAGGGGGGAUGCUGCUGUCUUCCCGGAGCAGGGAGGGUCGUAGGGAGAUUAUGGGUCUGGAGCUUAUGGACCCCCAAGGCUUCUUGGCCAACCCCUGGACGGGGGUUGAUACAAGAAGAGGAGAAGGAAGAGGGGAAAUAGGAGAUGGAGAUCAAGGACUAAAGGGGAAGAGCUCAAGCCAAACAACAGUAGGGCCUUGUCGAAAAAACAGAUGAAACCCGAUGUUUCUUUUUUGUUUGUCUCUCCAUUCCUUGGAUCUGAACCCAUUGCUAUCCCUCUCGCUCUCUCUGCCUCAUCAGUGAGAGAAAGGUCUGAUGACACACGAUUUCAAAACCAAACCCUCAUCUUGCCCCCUUAACCCAUUUCUAUACAUUCGUGACAAGCCCAUGUCCUAUUUUGUGCUGUCUAUGGGAGUGGUUUUGGUUAUGGUCUGUUGGUGUGGAAGUGGCCUUUUCAAGGUCCAAGAGCUUCUACCAACUUGGAGGCUGUACCAGUAUGGGAGGCCAUGGAAGCUUCUGAUCACACAGCAAACCCAGAAGGAGAUACAAAAGGGUUUGAACUCAAAGAUACAACAAAGAGUCUUGAUGUUGCUCGACUGUAAUUUCCUUUCUCCACGAUGGCUCGGGUUCACUGAGAUUAAAAAUGCAAAAACAGAAGUAACCAAACAAGAAAUAGCGAUCCAUGCCAACAGAGGGUGUUUUGAUUCGCCUAUGUCUCCUAGGCAGUGUGGCAAGUACGCGGGCAGAGGCUUUGUGAUGGCGGAAUAUAUGAAGGCGGAAGGAAGACUGGGGCAAGGAGAAGGCAGGUCAUUUGUUUGGCUGGAAAAGCAGAAAGCGGAUCUAAUGUCCAUCUGUCCUGGCAGACGGAAACAACAGGUCUUACUCACUCUGGCACAGGAGCUUCUGCUGAGAUCAGAGUAAAAUAUGAAGGGUGGAGGAAAGUUCAGGAAUGUGUGCUCACGUUUGUGUGUGUGUGAGUGUGUGUGAGGGAGCACCGCCUCAGGUAUCUAAGGCAAUGAAUUAAAUCAUUCUCACCGCUGCACCGCACCUCUGUGUUUUUGAAACCAGGGGGAGAGGUAUCAACUGAGGAAAAGUUUCGCACGUCUGUCAGCUUGGUCUUCAGUGGCACCGGGAAAUGGAAAUAAAUUAACAGACUGUGGAGGUAUAACUGUGCAUGGAGUGAUUCGUGAAAUUGGUUAUUUUCCUUUCUCUUGCCAGCAUCUCUCACUCGUGAACAUGAAGAAAUAUAGUAUAAAACGGAGAGCUAGGUUGGAUGGAGCUUCACAGACGCGGCCAGGAGAAACAGCGUCGUGUGAGCGGGCCAGCUACGCCCGCACUGGAAAAUGUGGUUUGCAGCUCCCUCGCUCAAGUGAGACUUCAAGCACACACCUUUUUUGACCCCACUUCCUCUCACUAUCUUUAAGGAUUUAAAGCGAAGGGACAAAAAAAAAAAACCCACACACACAAAAGUGUUGCAAGGGUCCUUGACUGCAUGAUGGGAUUGCAUUUAACCAAGAUUUUUAACUAUAUACAGAAGUGUAUUGAGAUGUCAAUGUUGGGUGAUAACCAUGUGAUUUCUAUUCCACUAUUUUUGUAGAAAAGAGAAUAGGCACGUGCAAGUGUUGCCGUUAAUUUGUCCCGAUUUAAUUUAACCCAUGCAGUGUCUUUGACUUUGUUGUCUAGGACUUUUUUUGGUCUGCCAGUGGCUUCCAAGUUUUCUAACAUUUUUCUAAGGUGUGGACAGUGUAUAAAACAACGAAGCAAAAAAUUUCAAACAAACUCUGUGCGCUGAAGUGAUUGUUCCCUCCAGCACAUUUCUCUUUGGGAACGCUGGUUCCUCGCGAUUUGAUUUUUCUAGAUGUUGGAGUCUCAGAGGACAACCAGAGGUGGGAACAGCCAUACUCACUCACCACAUGGGGACUGUCUAGCUCACGGACAUUCCCUGCACAAAAGGGAACUUUGUUUGCUUUUAGUCUCCUAUGCUAAAAAAACAAAAAAAACACACACAAACAGCAUACACCAUCUCUAUGAAAGCUUUAAUUUGAGCGUUACACCAUAACAUAUCGAUUACGGGCACAUUAGUGUUCCUUAAGCAUGAUUCUGGGAUUGCAAUACAGUAUGCUUAUUCUUGAAACGACACCGUGAUGCACUCACCCCCCCAUCUUUUCACACAUACAGUAUGUUGUAGCAACCUUUUCACGCACGGUGGUUUGACGCGAAAAGCUGAAACUGUAACAGCGGAACGAGACUUGCCGUCUUUUUGGCUUCCACCACUCGAUUAACUGCUCGAUCCAAAAAGGAGACGCUCAUCUUUAAGCCUGAUUUCUAAGAGGUAGACUGUUUUAUCCCUGGCGUUUCGAUCAUUACCUUUUUAUUUUUCCAUUUCUCAAGAGGAAUGAGGUGAUGUGAGAAAAUCUGAGGGUUUGACCUUUUUUAUCAUGCAAAAUCACUUUGAUGACUAUGUUUUAGCACAUGGUGUUGGGUAUUAACGAGUGAGGCAUUUGCGUGUGCGCGUGUGUCUGUGUGAGGGACUGUGUGUGCAUGUGCGUUUGUGACUUCAGGUAAAGUGUUUGCCUUUUUCCUGAAAUGUCCUGUUUGUCAGUGAGGAUACCUGGCGGGGUUAAAGGUCGAAGAGGGAAAAAACACAAAGCAACCAAGGGCUGUUUUAGCAUCAAAGAUAUAUCCUCUUAUCUUUCUGAGACAAAUCCUUGUGUCAGUGAAUAUGGCAUCAAAGGUUAAAGCCUGACUACACAGCAAUAAAUGUUCUAUGUGUAUGCCCUGAGUAAAUGAUGUCAAUGUGAUUUUUAUCUCCUCGGAUUACAACAGUGCUCAUUUUUGUCUGUUUUUGCUUCUGCACGUCUAAACUUCCAACUGGUCGGAUAGCACCUCUGCCCUCUCCAAAACCAGUUGCUAGAGAGAUGGGCUCCAAUUGGAUAACAAGAGUAAAUGAGGUUAACGAACUCAGGUCGGGGGGUAAAAACCACUAGUUUAAAUUUUAAAGAUAGCUGUAAAGCUGUGCUCAGACAGAAAGCGAAGCAAAUUCUCGCCUUGCUUUAUUCGCACAAGUUUGACGGCUUGAGUGUUUUGUGCACUGUGCGCUCACACACUACAGGCGUCGGACGUUAGAUACAACAAGCAGAACAGUGCGCCAAAUUUGUGCGUCAGCAGAGUGUGCCUUCAUGCACUGUGUGUGUGCUACAGCUCUCACUUAGACUGAUGUUCAAGACCCCCCCUUGUCUCCUUUUAUAUUUAUGAGUACAAAGGUUCAGCAAAAGCACACAUCUUUCCUAACGUGUAUUUUGCUCCAGUCCACGCUGCCUUGAUCAAGCCCGCGUCCACCUGUACACUCUCUAUUGUAUGCAGUCAUGUCCGUCUCUUAAAAAUUUGCUUCACCUUCAGUCUGAACACACCUUAAGAGUGUACACUUCACGUUUGUACAUAUCUUUGUAUUUUGAUCUGCAUGUGUGCAUUGCUGCCAGUGACCAUGAAUAUAUCGUUAGUAUGCAUUUCAUAAAACUGUACAAAGGUGAAGGGAAUGCCCCGGAUGUUUAUGACUGCUGCUAUGAGACCACUGGAGAAUCAGUCACAAAAAAAAAUGUUUCUCCUCCAACACAAACUAUAAAAUGAUAAAAUAUUACAUUUUAUGUAAAAAAAUCACACACAUCCAGUCUUCAUUUUUAUGCCUG